AGGGCGCACGGUGGAUGCCUUGACACUAGGAGUCGAUGAAGGACGGGACUAACGCCGAUAUGCUUCGGGGAGCUGUAAGUAAGCUUUGAUCCGAAGAUUUCCGAAUGGGGAAACCCACCAUACGUAAUGGUAUGGUAUCCUUAUCUGAAUACAUAGGGUAAGGAAGACAGACCCAGGGAACUGAAACAUCUAAGUACCUGGAGGAAGAGAAAGCAAAUGCGAUUUCCUGAGUAGCGGCGAGCGAAACGGAACAUAGCCCAAACCAAGAGGCUUGCCUCUUGGGGUUGUAGGACAUUCUAUACGGAGUUACAAAGGAACGAGGUAGACGAAGCGACCUGGAAAGGUCCGUCGUAGAGGGUAACAACCCCGUAGUCGAAACUUCGUUCUCUCUUGAAUGUAUCCUGAGUACGGCGGAACACGUGAAAUUCCGUCGGAAUCUGGGAGGACCAUCUCCCAAGGCUAAAUACUCCCUAGUGAUCGAUAGUGAACCAGUACCGUGAGGGAAAGGUGAAAAGCACCCCGGAAGGGGAGUGAAAGAGAUCCUGAAACCGUGUGCCUACAAAUAGUCAGAGCCCGUUAACGGGUGAUGGCGUGCCUUUUGUAGAAUGAACCGGCGAGUUACGAUCCCGUGCGAGGUUAAGCUGAAGAGGCGGAGCCGCAGCGAAAGCGAGUCUGAAUAGGGCGUUUAGUACGUGGUCGUAGACCCGAAACCAGGUGAUCUACCCAUGUCCAGGGUGAAGUUCAGGUAACACUGAAUGGAGGCCCGAACCCACGCACGUUGAAAAGUGCGGGGAUGAGGUGUGGGUAGCGGAGAAAUUCCAAUCGAACCUGGAGAUAGCUGGUUCUCCCCGAAAUAGCUUUAGGGCUAGCCUUAAGUGUAAGAGUCUUGGAGGUAGAGCACUGAUUGGACUAGGGGUCCUCAUCGGAUUACCGAAUUCAGUCAAACUCCGAAUGCCAAUGACUUAUCCUUAGGAGUCAGACUGCGAGUGAUAAGAUCCGUAGUCAAAAGGGAAACAGCCCAGACCGCCAGCUAAGGUCCCAAAGUGUGUAUUAAGUGGAAAAGGAUGUGGAGUUGCUUAGACAACUAGGAUGUUGGCUUAGAAGCAGCCACCAUUUAAAGAGUGCGUAAUAGCUCACUAGUCGAGUGACUCUGCGCCGAAAAUGUACCGGGGCUAAAUACACCACCGAAGCUGCGGAUUGAUACCAAUGGUAUCAGUGGUAGGGGAGCGUUCUAAGGACAGUGAAGUCAGACCGGAAGGACUGGUGGAGUGCUUAGAAGUGAGAAUGCCGGUAUGAGUAGCGAAAGACGGGUGAGAAUCCCGUCCACCGAAUGCCUAAGGUUUCCUGAGGAAGGCUCGUCCGCUCAGGGUUAGUCAGGACCUAAGCCGAGGCCGACAGGCGUAGGCGAUGGACAACAGGUUGAUAUUCCUGUACCACCUCUUUAUCGUUUGAGCAAUGGAGGGACGCAGAAGGAUAGAAGAAGCGUGCGAUUGGUUGUGCACGUCCAAGCAGUUAGGCUGAUAAGUAGGCAAAUCCGCUUAUCGUGAAGGCUGAGCUGUGAUGGGGAAGCUCCUUAUGGAGCGAAGUCUUUGAUUCCCCGCUGCCAAGAAAAGCUUCUAGCGAGAUAAAAGGUGCCUGUACCGCAAACCGACACAGGUAGGCGAGGAGAGAAUCCUAAGGUGUGCGAGAGAACUCUGGUUAAGGAACUCGGCAAAAUGACCCCGUAACUUCGGGAGAAGGGGUGCUUUCUUAACGGAAAGCCGCAGUGAAUAGGCCCAAGCGACUGUUUAGCAAAAACACAGCUCUCUGCGAAGCCGUAAGGCGAAGUAUAGGGGGUGACACCUGCCCGGUGCUGGAAGGUUAAGGAGAGGGGUUAGCGUAAGCGAAGCUCUGAACUGAAGCCCCAGUAAACGGCGGCCGUAACUAUAACGGUCCUAAGGUAGCGAAAUUCCUUGUCGGGUAAGUUCCGACCCGCACGAAAGGUGUAACGAUUUGGGCACUGUCUCAACCAGAGACUCGGUGAAAUUAUAGUACCUGUGAAGAUGCAGGUUACCCGCGACAGGACGGAAAGACCCCGUGGAGCUUUACUGUAGCCUGAUAUUGAAUUUUGGUACAGUUUGUACAGGAUAGGCGGGAGCCUUUGAAACCGGAGCGCUAGCUUCGGUGGAGGCGCUGGUGGGAUACCGCCCUGACUGUAUUGAAAUUCUAACCUACGGGUCUUAUCGACCCGGGAGACAGUGUCAGGUGGGCAGUUUGACUGGGGCGGUCGCCUCCUAAAGUGUAACGGAGGCGCCCAAAGGUUCCCUCAGAAUGGUUGGAAAUCAUUCGUAGAGUGCAAAGGCAUAAGGGAGCUUGACUGCGAGACCUACAAGUCGAGCAGGGACGAAAGUCGGGCUUAGUGAUCCGGUGGUUCCGCAUGGAAGGGCCAUCGCUCAACGGAUAAAAGCUACCCCGGGGAUAACAGGCUUAUCUCCCCCAAGAGUCCACAUCGACGGGGAGGUUUGGCACCUCGAUGUCGGCUCAUCGCAUCCUGGGGCUGUAGUCGGUCCCAAGGGUUGGGCUGUUCGCCCAUUAAAGCGGUACGCGAGCUGGGUUCAGAACGUCGUGAGACAGUUCGGUCCCUAUCCGUCGUGGGCGUAGGAAAUUUGAGAGGAGCUGUCCUUAGUACGAGAGGACCGGGAUGGACGCACCGCUGGUGUACCAGUUGUUCUGCCAAGGGCAUAGCUGGGUAGCUAUGUGCGGAAGGGAUAAGUGCUGAAAGCAUCUAAGCAUGAAGCCCCCUCAAGAUGAGAUUUCCCAUAGCGUAAGCUAGU
rnacentral:rRNA from 1 species